rnacentral:rRNA from 1 species
CCUACGGGAGGCAGCAGUGGGGAAUAUUGCACAAUGGGGGGAACCCUGAUGCAGCGACGCCGCGUGGGUGAAGGAGUAUUUCGGUAUGUAAAGCCCUAUCAGCAGGGAAGCACAAUGACGGUACCUGACCAAGAAGCACCGGCUAAAUACGUGCCAGCAGCCGCGGUAAUACGGAUGGUGCAGGCUUUAUCCGGAUUUACUGGGGGUAACGGGAGCGCAGGCGGCGCGUUAAGCCUGGUGGGAAAGCCCGCGGCCCAACCGCGGGACUGCAUUGGGAACUGGCGCGCUGGAGGGCCGGAGGGGUAGGCGGAAUGCCUAGUGUAGCGGUGAAAUGCGUAGAGAUUAGGAGGAACACCGGUGGCGAAGGCGGCCUACUGGACGGUGACUGACGCUGAGGCUCGAAAGCGUGGGGAGCAAACAGGAUUAGAUACCCUAGUAGUC